UAAAUCUCCGCCUCUCCUUCAAAGUUUUAGGUGAAAAUUGGCACAUCUGUUGUUGAAUUCUCAAAUCAUCAUGCUCCAAUGUUAGAUCAUCAACUCCGUUCCCUGGGUGUUUAAUAAAUGGUUCAAAUUCAUCUUUCAGAAGUAAACUUUUGGUCCUUCCUUUGAUUUGCUUACUGCUAAACUCUUCUUCUUUCUUGAGUGCUCCUUUUUCACUUAUGUGCUGAUACCGCUGGGAUCUCUGCUGAUUAGGCUAUAGCUUGCCUGUUGUUUUCACUAUGUUUGCAGCUGUAAUCGCUUAUAUGAGAGCUAAGACCUUUUUAAUAUGUUGUUCUGAAUCAUCCACAGAUUCUUUUGAAAAAUGAAUUCAGGUUUGGAUGCACCCCACAUUGCUUGAAUCAGGCGAUUAUUGGAGCUUUCAAGAUAUAAAGCAAAGGGGUUAGAAGGAUACAGAUUGGAGAUCAAAAUGAUAAAAAAAGAGAAGAAAAAGUACAGCUUAAGACCUGCAGCAAAAGAGCCUCAGGUACCGAGGUAGCAGUCCAUUUGUCAUGGUUGCGGUCAGUUAAGAUCGUCAAUCAACCGCGACCGCAAAAGUUAAUCAUAGUCGUGUAGUUGUGAUCACAACCAGACUUGUGAUUGUGGCUUGGCAAAAAUAUUCGGCCAAAGGGAAAAACUGUAAUUGCACGUGUUGAUCCAAAUUUGAACAAAAAGACUCAAAUCCUAGUUUCAUGUAUCAAUAAUUCUAUUACACUCCUUCUUUUCUAAUUUUCUAGGUUUUAGCUCUAGAUUUA